UACGGAGGAUCCAAGCGUUAUCCGGAUUUAUUGGGUUUAAAGGGUGCGUAGGCGGCUUUAUAAGUCAGAGGUGAAAGACGGCAGCUCAACUGUCGCAGUGCCUUUGAUACUGUAGAGCUUGAAUUCGAUUGAAGAUGGCGGAAUGAGGCAAGUAGCGGUGAAAUGCAUAGAUAUGUCUCAGAACAUCGAUUGCGAAGGCAGCUGUCUAAGUCGAUAUUGACGCUGAUGCACGAAAGCGUGGGGAUCAAACAGG
rnacentral:rRNA from 1 species